GACGAACGCUGGCGGCGUGCUUAACACAUGCAAGUCGAACGGUAAGGCCCUUCGGGGUACACGAGUGGCGAACGGGUGAGUAACACGUGGGUGAUCUGCCCUGCACUUCGGGAUAAGCCUGGGAAACUGGGUCUAAUACCGGAUAGGACUCCGGACUGCAUGGUCUGGGGUGGAAAGCUUUUGCGGUGUGGGAUGGGCCCGCGGCCUAUCAGCUUGUUGGUGGGGUGAUGGCCUACCAAGGCGACGACGGGUAGCCGGCCUGAGAGGGUGACCGGCCACACGGGGACUGAGAUACGGCCCAGACUCCUACGGGAGGCAGCAGUGGGGAGUAUUGCGCAAUGGGCGCAAGCCUGAUGCAGCGACGCCGCGUGAGGGAUGACGGCCUUCGGGUUGUAAACCUCUUUCAGCAUCGACGAAGCGAAAGUGACGGUAGGUGCAGAAGAAGGACCGGCCAACUACGUGCCAGCCGCCGCCGUAA
rnacentral:rRNA from 1 species